UCAAAAAAUAGAGAAAAAAUGCAUGAUAUGCACACAGACGAAAAAUAAGAGAAUGGAAAAAGGGAGUUAGAAAAACUUACAGAAAUUAAGAACGAGAGAGGGAAGGAGAUUAGAAAAGAAAGAGGAGGAGAUGGAGAAACGAAUAGACAUUAUCCUUUUAUAUAAGCCAACAAGGUGGGACUAUCAUAGCUUGAACGCAUUGUACAAAAGGACACAAUUUCGCGGCUACACAAACAACUGCUUGCACCUCUAUCUUUGAAGUAGUUUUUGUCUUGCAGGGAAUAGAUUUGCGUGGCUGUGAGAUAAUGAGUUUGCCCGACAAGUUUUAGCAGGGUUAACCCUGUGAACAUUGAACUAUUGAGGGCUAGAAUAGCUUUUUAUGGCUCCCCUGAUUCAACUAUUACCAGGGAUCAUAUAGAACAUGAGCUUAAUGGACUGAGUGUUGAAGCUAUUACUGCUUCAGAUAUCUUUUAUGGAUACGAUACACUUUUGCCGCCAAAUAGAAGUGCAUGUUCAUGUCUUUUAGUACACUUGAUCCAGAGACUUAGUAAUGCUUCUGCCACGACACACUCCGAAAGUCAAGAUAUUAACUCCUUGGUGAUCACAUCUGUGAAUUUUAGGCUGAAGGAUAAUGGUUCAUGGUAUUUGUCAAGAUAUCUUUGCAGAGGAUUUAGAUUGCCAACUUCUCAUGUAAUCCACACUGUUGGGCCAAUAUAUGAUGUUAACCCAAAUACUAAAGCCUCUUUGACAAAUGCAUAAAUAGCCUGCAUGUGGCAAAUGAGAACAACAUUCAGUAUAUUUCUUUUCCUGCCAUAUCAUGUGGGGUCUUCGGGUGAGUUCACAUGGAUUAAACACGCAUUUCAAGUUUAUAGGAACUUGAUCUGAUUUAAUUAAGUUUGUGAUGGUUACUUUCAAGGAUAAAUAAUCCAUCAGUUAUUGAGGAUGAAAAAAGAAUAUGUUUGGACUGCUACAGAAUAAGUUUGCUGCAUUAUCUGACAUUUCAUUACCUAGAUAAUGAUUGUCUAUUUUUUCUUCUAUGUUCAGUAGGGGCUGGCUAAUCUGAAAACUAUUGCUCUAGCAACUUACAUUAAGAUUGAUUUCAAUUGUUAUGUUAUUAUCACAGCUUGCUAAUCGUAAUCUUGUCUUCUGAAUCUUUCUGUUUUCAUUUCGCCUCUUAAAAUUAGCUAAUCCUUAUUUUUCUUGGAACAAAUUGUCGUAUAAAAAUAUGUUAUCGAUGCCUUUUUUCUGUUUGUUUCACUGUGUGUUUGUUUCACUGUGUGUCCUGUACUAUGUUCACACAAAUAAAUUUCUAUACCCUGGUAAUAUAUGUUGACUGUUGAAUGAGAAAAUUCGUUUAAUAGUCCUUAGUUUGAACAGAUCAUAGAACUAGCCUUAUAAUAUAACUAUGUUUAUACCUUUCUUAGGCAACUAACUUUUAAAAGUGAAGAGACAGUGCAACUUGGCCAACAACUAUAAUUAUCUUUGUAGAUUAUUAAACAUCGUAUAUUUUUAAUUUCAAUGUAUGAUUCAUCUCUAAAAUUGAAAAGUGUAAAGGUUCAGUGACACUGAUGAAAGUUUUGCAAUAAGAAGGUGAAUUUCUAUACUACUGAUUUUCUCUGGUGACAGAAACUUCUCUUCUCGAGUUCACAGGUUAGCUUCAUGUUUCCUAUCAAAAAAAGAGACUCAAUGGUAGGUGUUUACAUGCUUUAUGUUGAUAUUUAGUAAGAAGCAAUUUUCUCCUCUUUUAGACAUAAAUAAUGGUUGUGUCUGGAGGGGCCUCGCUAAUUUCUUAAAUCAUUACUACCCGAGUAAAUAUUUUGUCACCUGAAUAAUUCUAAUUGAAAUGAAGCAGGAGUCUUGGUGAAAACAAUACUUAAAUCUAAAGCUUCUGAUACAAUAUGUAGUAUACAUAUGAUAAGGAUAAUCACGUGUUUUUUAUAUGAACAACAACUACAAUUAUCUUUGUAGAUUGUUAAACAUCUUUCAAGGUGUAAUAGUGAUUUUAGAACAAACCUUUGAUAAAGUAUUUCCACGUCAAAAGUAAUUGAUAACCAGAGUCUGCUUUACAGAUUCAGAUGUAUUACACUGCCAGAAAUGUUAAAGAGGACCAUGACUCUGAGUGCAGCACAUGAAAAGGCACUGAAAUCAUUUAUUAACCCAACCACCAAGAAGUCUAUUAGCAAAGAAAAGGAACAAGCUUUGAACAACUAUGGAGUUGAACAAUGUGUUGAUAUUGAGUCACACCUACGAAAAGACCCAACCACCAAGAAGUUUAUUAGCAAAGAAAAGGAACAAGCUUUGAACAACUAUGGAGUUGAACAAUGUGUUGAUAUUGAGUCACACCUACGAAAAGAAGUAUGAUCAAAAACAUAGCAACACCUACAAGUUUAGAUAUUGAGUCACACUUGCAACAUGAAGUAUGAUGAAAAACACAGCAACACCUACAAGUUUAGAUAGUUGUUGGAAGAGCAUCAUUCUUAUGUAGAGUCAUAUUAUAUCCAUGUUUUAUUAAAGCUGCUUUUAUUUAUGAUUUUUUAUUCUUUAAUUUCAAUACAAUCAUGUCAAUGUUGGGCUGGUGCUGCCUCUAGUAAGAAAAGAAAAGAUGUAGUGGGGUUUUGUUCAUGUCUCAAACGUUGUUUUUCAUUUUUUUUAUAUUGGAUUAGGUUGAAAAGGGUUAUCAUCU